GAUGAACGCUGGCGGCGUGCCUAAUACAUGCAAGUCGAGCGAACGGACGAGAAGCUUGCUUCUCUGAUGUUAGCGGCGGACGGGUGAGUAACACGUGGAUAACCUACCUAUAAGACUGGGAUAACUUCGGGAAACCGUAGCUAAUACCGGAUAAUAUUUUGAACCGCAUGGUUCAAAAGUGAAAGACGGUCUUGCUGUCACUUAUAGAUGGAUCCGCGCUGCAUUAGCUAGUUGGUAAGGUAACGGCUUACCAAGGCAACGAUGCAUAGACGACCUGAGAGGGUGAUCGGCCACACUGGAACUGAGACACGGUCCAGACUCCUACGGGAGGCAGCAGUAGGGAAUCUUCCGCAAUGGGCGAAAGCCUGACGGAGCAACGCCGCGUGAGUGAUGAAGGUCUUCGGAUCGUAAAACUCUGUUAUUAGGGAAGAACAUAUGUGUAAGUAACUGUGCACAUCUUGACGGUACCUAAUCAGAAAGCCACGGCUAACCACGUG
rnacentral:rRNA from 1 species